rnacentral:rRNA from 1 species
AUUGAACGCUGGCGGCAGGCUUAACACAUGCAAGUCGAGCGGAGCGAGGGUGCUUGCACCUUAGCUUAGCGGCGGACGGGUGAGUAAUGCUUAGGAAUCUGCCUAUUAGUGGGGGACAACAUUCCGAAAGGAAUGCUAAUACCGCAUACGCCCUACGGGGGAAAGCAGGGGAUCUUCGGACCUUGCGCUAAUAGAUGAGCCUAAGUCGGAUUAGCUAGUUGGUGGGGUAAGGGCCUACCAAGGCGACGAUCUGUAGCGGGUCUGAGAGGAUGAUCCGCCACACUGGGACUGAGACACGGCCCAGACUCCUACGGGAGGCAGCAGUGGGGAAUAUUGGACAAUGGGCGGAAGCCUGAUCCAGCCAUGCCGCGUGUGUGAAGAAGGCCUUUUGGUUGUAAAGCACUUUAAGCGAGGAGGAGGCUACUAGUAUUAAUACUACUGGAUAGUGGACGUUACUCGCAGAAUAAGCACCGGCUAACUCUGUGCCAGCAGCCGCAGUAACAC